rnacentral:rRNA from 1 species
AGUGAACGCUGGCGGUAGGCCUAACACAUGCAAGUCGAACGACAGCACAGUAAGAGCUUGCUCUUACGGGUGGCGAGUGGCGGACCGGUGCGGUAUACAUCGGAAUCUUCUUUUUCGUGGGGGCUAACGCAGGGAAAUUUACGCUAAUACCGCAUACGACGUACUGGUGUAAGCAGGCGAUCUUUGAACCAUGUGGUAGUGAAAAAGCCGAUGUCGGAUUAGCUAGUUGGCGGGGCAAAGGCCCACCAAGGCUACGAUCCGAAGCGGGUCUGAGAGGAUGGUCACACACACUGGAACAGAGAAACGGUCCCGACUCCGACGGUAGGCAGCAGUGGGGAAUAUUGGACGAUGGGGGAGAGCGUGAUCCAGCAAUACCGCGUAGAUGAAGAAGGCCUUCGGGUUGGAAAGCCCUUUUGUUGGGAGGGAAAAGCAGCAGGUUAAUACCCCGCUGUACUGACGGUACCCAAAGAAUAAGCACCGGCUAACUUCGUG